GACGAACGCUGGCGGCGUGCUUAACACAUGCAAGUCGAACGGUGAAGCGCCUUCCUUUUUGGUGGGUGUGGAUGAGUGGCGAACGGGUGAGUAACACGUGAGUAACCUGCCCCCUUCUUCUGGAUAACCGCAUGAAAGUGUGGCUAACACGGGAUAUUCUGGGUCUGUCGCAUGAUGGGUCUGGGAAAGAUAUUGUUUCGGUGGGGAUGGGCUCGCGGCCUAUCAGCUUGUUGGUGGGGUGAUGGCCUACCAAGGCGGUGACGGGUAGCCGGCCUGGGAGGGCGGACGGUCACACUGGGGCGGAGACGCGGCCCAGACUCCUGCGGGCGGCAGCAGGGGGGAAUCUUGCACGAUGGGCGCAAGCCUGAUGCAGCGCCGCCGCGUGAGUGAUGGAGGCCUUCGGGUUGUGAACCUCUUUCGCCAGUGAAGCAGGCCUGCCUCGUUUGUGGGUGGGUUGACGGUAGCUGGAUAAGAAGCGCCGGCUAACUACGUG
rnacentral:rRNA from 1 species